AGUGAACGCUGGCGGUAGGCCUAACACAUGCAAGUCGAACGGCAGCACAGUAAGAGCUUGCUCUUACGGGUGGCGAGUGGCGGACGGGUGAGGAAUACAUCGGAAUCUACUUUUUCGUGGGGGAUAACGUAGGGAAACUUACGCUAAUACCGCAUACGACCUACGGGUGAAAGCAGGGGAUCUUCGGACCUUGCGCGAUUGAAUGAGCCGAUGUCGGAUUAGCUAGUUGGCGGGGUAAAGGCCCACCAAGGCGACGAUCCGUAGCUGGUCUGAGAGGAUGAUCAGCCACACUGGAACUGAGACACGGUCCAGACUCCUACGGGAGGCAGCAGUGGGGAAUAUUGGACAAUGGGCGCAAGCCUGAUCCAGCCAUACCGCGUAGGUGAAGAAGGCCUUCGGGUUGUAAAGCCCUUUUGUUGGGAAAGAAAAGCAGCAGGUUAAUACCCCGCUGUUCUGACGGGACCCAAAGAAUAAGCACCGGCGAACUUCGU
rnacentral:rRNA from 1 species